rnacentral:rRNA from 1 species
CACGUAGGGCGCAAGCGUUGUCCGGAAUUAUUGGGCGUAAAGAGCUCGUAGGCGGUCUGUUGCGUCCGCUGUGAAAACUCGGGGCUUAACCCCGAGCCUGCAGUGGAUACUGGCAGACUAGAGGUAGGUAGGGGAGAAUGGAAUUCCCGGUGUAGCGGUGAAAUGCGCAGAUAUCGGGAGGAACACCGGUGGCGAAGGCGGUUCUCUGGGCCUUACCUGACGCUGGGGAGCGAAAGCGUGGGGAGCGAACAGG